UACAGAGGUCCCAAGCGUUGUUCGGAUUCACUGGGCGUAAAGGGUGCGUAGGUGGCUUGGAAAGUUUGAUGUGAAAGCUCAGAGCUCAACUCUGAAAUGGCAUUGAAUACUAUCGAGCUGGAGGUUUGGAGGGGGGACUGGAAUUCUUGGUGUAGCAGUGAAAUGCGUAGAUAUCAAGAGGAACACCAGUGGCGAAGGCGAGUCCCUGGACAACACCUGACACUGAGGCACGAAAGCCGGGGGAGCAAACAGG
rnacentral:misc_RNA from 1 species